GCGCCUGUGGCGGAAUUGGUAGACGCGCAAGGUUGAGGGCCUUGUGGGAGACAACUCCCGUGGAGGUUCGAGUCCUCUCGGGCGCA
rfam:Actinobacteria bacterium SCGC AG-212-D09 AG-212-D09.51, whole genome shotgun sequence.